CUUGUAUUCUCUCCGUUCGGAAAUACUUGUCGGAGAAAUGAAUAAAUAUAGACGUAUUUUAGUUCUAGAUACACCUACUUUUAUUCAUUUCUGCGAUGACUAAUUCCGGACGGAGGGAGUACUAG
rnacentral:pre_miRNA from 1 species